UACGUAGGGUGCAAGCGUUAAUCGGAAUUACUGGGCGUAAAGCGUGCGCAGGCGGUUGUGCAAGACAGAUGUGAAAUCCCUGGGCUUAACCUGGGAAUUGCAUUUGUGACUGUACGGCUAGAGUGUGUCAGAGGGGGGUAGAAUUCCACGUGUAGCAGUGAAAUGCGUAGAUAUGUGGAGGAACACCGAUGGCGAAGGCAGCCCCCUGGGAUGUGACUGACGCUCAUGUACGAAAGCGUGGGGAGCAAACAGG
rnacentral:rRNA from 1 species